rnacentral:tRNA from 1 species
UCCGCGUUCGACUAACCGGCAGGUCACCAGGUUUUGGCCCUGGCAGUCCAGGUUCGAACCCUGGGCGCGGAG